rnacentral:lncRNA from 1 species
AUGCCCGUCAUCACUCUCUCUCAUCACUCCCUAUGCCCGUCAUCACUCUCUCUCAUCACUCCCUAUGCCCGUCAUCCCUCUCACUCCCUAUGCCCGUCAUCCCUCUUUCCCUCUCACUCCCUAUGCCCGUCAUCCCUCUAUCCCUCUCACUCCCUAUGCCCGUCAUCACUCUCUCUCAUCACUCCCUAUGCCCGUCAUCACUCUCUCUCAUCACUCCCUAUGCCCGUCAUCCCUCUCACUCCCAAUGCCCGUCAUCCCUCUCUCUCAUCACUCCCUAUGCCCGUCAUCACUCUCUCUCAUCACUCCCUAUGCCCGUCAUCACUCUAUCCCUCUCAUUCCCUAUGCCCGUCAUCCCUCUAUCCCUCUCACUCCCUAUGCCCGUCAUCACUCUAUCCCUCUCACUCCCUAUGCCCGUCAUCCCUCUCACUCCCUAUGCCCGUCAUCCCUCUAUCCCUCUCACUCCCUAUGCCCGUCAUCCCUCUAUCCCUCUCACUCCCUAUGCCCGUCAUCCCUCUCACUCCCUAUGCCCGUCAUCCCUCUAUCCCUCUCACUCCCUAUGCCCGUCAUCACUCUCUCUCAUCACCCCCUAUGCCCGUCAUCCCUCUCACUCCCUAUGCCUGUCAUCCCUCUAUCCCUCACUCCCUAUGCCCGUCAUCUCUCUCUCAUCACUCCCUAUGCCCGUCAUCCCUCUAUCCCUCUCACUCCCUAUGCCCGUCAUUCCUCUCACUCCCUAUGCCCGUCAUCACUCUCUCUCAUCACUCCCUAUGCCCGUCAUCACUCUAUCCCUCUCACUCCCUAUGCCCGUCAUCCCUCUAUCCCUCUCACUCCCUAUGCCCGUCAUUCCUCUCACUCCCUAUAACCGUCAUCCCUCUAUCCCUCUCACUCCCUAUGCCCGUCAUCCCUCUAUCCCUCUCACUCCCUAUGCCCGUCACCCCUCUCACUCCCUAUGCCCGUCAUCACUCUCUCUCAUCACCCCCUAUGCCCGUCAUCCCUCUAUCCCUCUCACCCCCUUUGCCCGUCAUCCCUCUAUCCCUCUCACUCCCUAUGCCCGUCAUCCCUCUCACUCCCUAUGCCCGUCAUCCCUCUAUCCCUCUCACUCCCUAUGCCCGUCAUCCCUCUAUCGCUCUCACUCCCUAUGCCCGUCAUCCCUCUGUCCCUCACUCCCUAUGCCCGUCAUCCCUCUAUCCCUCACUCCCUAUGCCCAUCAUCCCUCUAUCCCUCUCACUCCCUAUGCCCGUCAUCCCUCUAUCCCUCUCACUCCCUAUGCCCGUCAUCCCUCUAUCCCUCUCACUCCCUAUGCCUGUCAUCCCUGUAUCCCUCUCACUCCCUAUGCCCGUCAUCCCUCUCACUCCCUAUGCCCGUCAUCCCUCUAUCCCUCUCACCCCCUAUGCCCGUCAUCACUCUCUCUCAUCACUCCCUAUGCCCGUCAUCACUCUAUCCCUCUCACUCCCUAUGCCCGUCAUCCCUCUAUCCCUCUCACUCCCUAUGCCCGUCAUUCCUCUCACUCCCUAUGCCCGUCAUCCCUCUAUCCCUCUCACUCCCUAUGCCCGUCAUCCCUCUAUCCCUCUCACUCCCUAUGCCCGUCAUCCCUCUCACUCCCUAUGCCCGUCAUCACUCUCUCUCAUCACCCCCUAUGCCCGUCAUCCCUCUAUCCCUCUCACCCCCUAUGCCCGUCAUCCCUCUAUCCCUCUCACUCCCUAUGCCCGUCAUCCCUCUCACUCCCUAUGCCCGUCAUUCCUCUAUCCCUCUCACUCCCUAUGCCCGUCAUCCCUCUAUCCCUCACUCCCUAUGCCCAUCAUCCCUCUAUCCCUCUCACUCCCUAUGCCCGUCAUCCCUCUAUCCCUCUCACUCCCUAUGCCCGUCAUCCCUCUAUCCCUCUCACUCCCUAUGCCUGUCAUCCCUGUAUCCCUCUCACUCCCUAUGCCCGUCAUCCCUCUCACUCCCUAUGCCCGUCAUCCCUCUAUCCCUCUCACCCCCUAUGCCUGUCAUCCCUCUAUCCCUCUCACUCCCUAUGCCCGUCAUCCCUCUAUCCCUCUCACUCCCUAUGCCCGUCAUCCCUCUAUCCCUCACUCCCUAUGCCCGCCAUCCCUCUAUCCCUCUCACUCCCUAUGCCCAUCAUCCCUCUAUCCCUCACUCCCUAUGCCCGUCAUCCCUCUCACUCCCUAUGCCCGUCAUCCCUCUCACUCCCUAUGCCCGUCAUCCCUCUAUCCCUCUCACUCCCUAUGCUCGUCAUCCCUCUAUCCCUCUCACUCCCUAUGCCCGUCAUCCCUCUAUCCCUCUCACUCCCUAUGCCCGUCAUCCCUCUAUCCCUCUCACUCCCUAUGCCUGUCAUCCCUGUAUCCCUCUCACUCCCUAUGCCCGUCAUCCCUCUAUCCCUCUCACUCCCUAUGCCCGUCAUCCCUCUAUCCCUCUCACUCCCUAUGCCCGUCAUUCCUCUCACUCCCUAUGCCCGUCAUCCCUCUAUCCCUCUCACCCCCUAUGCCCGUCAUCCCUCUAUCCCUCUCACUCCCUAUGCCCGUCAUCCCUCUAUCCCUCUCACUCCCUAUGCCCGUCAUCUCUCUCUCAUCACUCCCUAUGCCCGUCAUCACUCUCUCUCAUCACUCCCUAUGCCCGUCAUCCCUCUAUCCCUCUCACUCCCUAUGCCCGUCAUCCCUCUCACUCCCUAUGCCCGUCAUCCCUCUAUCCCUCUCACUCCCUAUGCCCGUCAUCACUCUCUCUCAUCACCCCCUAUGCCCGUCAUCUCUCUCACUCCCUAUGCCUGUCAUCCCUCUAUCCCUCUCACUCCCUAUGCCCGUCAUCCCUCUAUCCCUCUCACUCCCUAUGCCCGUCAUCCCUCUAUCCCUCUCACUCCCUAUGCCCGUCAUCCCUCUAUCCCUCACUCCCUAUGCCCAUCAUCCCUCUAUCCCUCACUCCCUAUGCCCGUCACUCUAUCCCUCUCACUCCCUAUGCCCAUCAUCCCUCUCACUCCCUAUUCCCGUCAUCACUCUCUCUCAUCACUCCCUAUGCCCGUCAUCACUCUCUCUCAUCACUCCCUAUGCCCGUCAUCCCUCUCACUCCCUAUGCCCGUCAUCCCUCUAUCCCUCUCACUCCCUAUGCCCGUCAUUCCUCUAUCCCUCUCACUCCCUAUGCCCGUCAUCACUCUCUCUCAUCACUCCCUAUGCCCGUCAUCACUCUCUCUCAUCACUCCCUAAGCCCGUCAUCACUCUAUCCCUCUCACUCCCUAUGCCCGUCAUCCCUCUAUCCCUCUCACUCCCUAUGCCCGUCAUCCCUCUAUCCCUCUCACUCCCUAUGCCCGUCAUCUCUCUCUCAUCACUCCCUAUGUCCGUCAUCACUCUCUCUCAUCACUCCCUAUGCCCGUCAUCCCUCUAUCCCUCUCACUCCCUAUGCCCGUCAUUCCUCUCACUCCCUAUGCCCGUCAUCACUCUCUCUCAUCACUCCCUAUGCCCGUCAUCACUCUAUCCCUCUCACUCCCUAUGCCCGUCAUCCCUCUAUCCCUCUCACUCCCUAUGCCCGUCAUUCCUCUCACUCCCUAUGCCCGUCAUCCCUCUAUCCCUCUCACUCCCUAUGCCCGUCAUCCCUCUAUCCCUCUCACUCCCUAUGCCCGUCAUCCCUCUCACUCCCUAUGCCCGUCAUCACUCUCUCUCAUCACCCCCUAUGCCCGUCAUCCCUCUAUCCCUCUCACCCCCUAUGCCCGUCAUCCCUCUAUCCCUCUCACUCCCUAUGCCCGUCAUCCCUCUCACUCCCUAUGCCCGUCAUUCCUCUAUCCCUCUCACUCCCUAUGCCCGUCAUCCCUCUAUCCCUCUCACUCCCUAUGCCCGUCAUCCCUCUGUCCCUCACUCCCUAUGCCCGUCAUCCCUCUAUCCCUCACUCCCUAUGCCAAUCAUCCCUCUAUCCCUCUCACUCCCUAUGCCCGUCAUCCCUCUAUCCCUCUCACUCCCUAUGCCUGUCAUCCCUCUCACUCCCUAUGCCUGUCAUCCCUGUAUCCCUCUCACUCCCUAUGCCCGUCAUCCCUCUCACUCCCUAUGCCCGUCAUCCCUCUAUCCCUCUCACCCCCUAUGCCUGUCAUCCCUCUAUCCCUCUCACUCCCUAUGCCCGUCAUCCCUCUAUCCCUCUCACUCCCUAUGCCCGUCAUCCCUCUAUCCCUCACUCCCUAUGCCCGCCAUCCCUCUAUCCCUCUCACUCCCUAUGCCCAUCAUCCCUCUAUCCCUCACUCCCUAUGCCCGUCAUCACUCUUUCCCUCUCACUCCCUAUGCCCAUCAUCCCUCUCACUCCCUAUGCCCGUCAUCCCUCUCACUCCCUAUGCCCGUCAUCCCUCUAUCCCUCUCACUCCCUAUGCCCGUCAUCCCUCUAUCCCUCUCACUCCCUAUGCCCGUCAUCCCUCUAUCCCUCUCACUCCCUAUGCCUGUCAUCCCUCUAUCCCUCUCACUCCCUAUGCCCGUCAUCCCUCUAUCCCUCUCACUCCCUAUGCCCGUCAUUCCUCUCACUCCCUAUGCCCGUCAUCCCUCUAUCCCUCUCACUCCCUAUGCCCGUCAUCCCUCUAUCCCUCUCACUCCCUAUGCCUGUCAUCCCUCUAUCCCUCUCACUCCCUAUGCCCGUCAUCCCUCUCACUCCCUAUGCCCGUCAUCACUCCCUAUGCCCGUCAUCCCUCUAUCCCUCUCGCUCCCUAUGCCCGUCAUCCCUCUAUCCCUCUCACUCCCUAUGCCCGUCAUCCCUCUAUCCCUCUCACUCCCUAUGCCCGUCAUCCCUCUAUCCCUCUCACUCCCUAUGCCCGUCAUCCCUCUAUCCCUCUCACUCCCUAUGCCCGUCAUCCCUCUCACUCCAUAUGCCCGUCAUCCCUCUAUCCCUCUCACUCCCUAUGCCCGUCAUCCCUCUAUCCCUCUCACUCCCUAUGCCCGUCAUCCCUCUCACUCCCUAUGCCCGUCAUCCCUCUCACUCCCUAUGCCCGUCAUCCCUCUAUCCCUCUCGCUCCCUAUGCCCGUCAUCCCUCUAUCCCUCUCACUCCCUAUGCCCGUCAUCUCUCUCACUCCCUAUGCCUGUCAUCCCUCUAUCCCUCUCACUCCCUAUGCCCGUCAUCACUCUAUCCCUCUGUUUUUGUCUCCCACCUCCAACUUCGCAGUAUAA